ensembl:miRNA
ACGAAUGGCUAUGCACUGCACAACCCUAGGAGAGGGUGCCAUUCACAUAGACUGUAAUUGAAUGGCGCCACUAGGGUUGUGCAGUGCACAACCUACAC